rnacentral:rRNA from 1 species
GGUUAAGCGACUAAGCGUACACGGUGGAUGCCCUGGCAGUCAGAGGCGAUGAAGGACGUGCUAAUCUGCGAUAAGCGCCGGUAAGGUGAUAUGAACCGUUAUAACCGGCGAUUUCCGAAUGGGGAAACCCAGUGUGACUCGUCACACUAUCAUUAACUGAAUCCAUAGGUUAAUGAGGCGAACCGGGGGAACUGAAACAUCUAAGUACCCCGAGGAAAAGAAAUCAACCGAGAUUCCCCCAGUAGCGGCGAGCGAACGGGGAGGAGCCCAGAGCCUGAAUCAGCAUGUGUGUUAGUGGAAGCGUCUGGAAAGGCGCGCGAUACAGGGUGACAGCCCCGUACACAAAAGCGCAUGUGCUGUGAGCUCGAUGAGUAGGGCGGGACACGUGGUAUCCUGUCUGAAUAUGGGGGGACCAUCCUCCAAGGCUAAAUACUCCUGACUGACCGAUAGUGAACCAGUACCGUGAGGGAAAGGCGAAAAGAACCCCGGCGAGGGGAGUGAAAAAGAACCUGAAACCGUGUACGUACAAGCAGUGGGAGCACCCUUUGGGGUGUGACUGCGUACCUUUUGUAUAAUGGGUCAGCGACUUAUAUUCUGUAGCAAGGUUAACCGAAUAGGGGAGCCGGAGGGAAACCGAGUCUUAAUUGGGCGUUAAGUUGCAGGGUAUAGACCCGAAACCCGGUGAUCUAGCCAUGGGCAGGUUGAAGGUUGGGUAACACUAACUGGAGGACCGAACCGACUAAUGUUGAAAAAUUAGCGGAUGACCUGUGGCUGGGGGUGAAAGGCCAAUCAAACCGGGAGAUAGCUGGUUCUCCCCGAAAGCUAUUUAGGUAGCGCCUCGUGAAUUCAUCUCCGGGGGUAGAGCACUGUUUCGGCUAGGGGGCCAUCCCGGCUUACCAACCCGAUGCAAACUGCGAAUACCGGAGAAUGUUAUCACGGGAGACACACGGCGGGUGCUAACGUCCGUCGUGAAGAGGGAAACAACCCAGACCGCCAGCUAAGGUCCCAAAGUCAUGGUUAAGUGGGAAACGAUGUGGGAAGGCCCAGACAGCCAGGAUGUUGGCUUAGAAGCAGCCAUCAUUUAAAGAAAGCGUAAUAGCUCACUGGUCGAGUCGGCCUGCGCGGAAGAUGUAACGGGGCUAAACCAUGCACCGAAGCUGCGGCAGCGACGCUGAUGCGUUGUUGGGUAGGGGAGCGUUCUGUAAGCCUGUGAAGGUGGCCUGUGAGGGUUGCUGGAGGUAUCAGAAGUGCGAAUGCUGACAUAAGUAACGAUAAAGCGGGUGAAAAGCCCGCUCGCCGGAAGACCAAGGGUUCCUGUCCAACGUUAAUCGGGGCAGGGUGAGUCGACCCCUAAGGCGAGGCCGAAAGGCGUAGUCGAUGGGAAACGGGUUAAUAUUCCCGUACUUGGUGUUACUGCGAAGGGGGGACGGAGAAGGCUAUGUUGGCCGGGCGACGGUUGUCCCGGUUUAAGCGUGUAGGUGUGUGUUCCAGGUAAAUCCGGUUCACUUUAACACUGAGGCGUGAUGACGAGGCACUACGGUGCUGAAGCAACAAAUGCCCUGCUUCCAGGAAAAGCCUCUAAGCAUCAGGUAACAUCAAAUCGUACCCCAAACCGACACAGGUGGUCAGGUAGAGAAUACCAAGGCGCUUGAGAGAACUCGGGUGAAGGAACUAGGCAAAAUGGUGCCGUAACUUCGGGAGAAGGCACGCUGACACGUAGGUGAAGUGAUUUACUCAUGGAGCUGAAGUCAGUCGAAGAUACCAGCUGGCUGCAACUGUUUAUUAAAAACACAGCACUGUGCAAACACGAAAGUGGACGUAUACGGUGUGACGCCUGCCCGGUGCCGGAAGGUUAAUUGAUGGGGUCAGCGCAAGCGAAGCUCCUGAUCGAAGCCCCGGUAAACGGCGGCCGUAACUAUAACGGUCCUAAGGUAGCGAAAUUCCUUGUCGGGUAAGUUCCGACCUGCACGAAUGGCGUAAUGAUGGCCAGGCUGUCUCCACCCGAGACUCAGUGAAAUUGAACUCGCUGUGAAGAUGCAGUGUACCCGCGGCAAGACGGAAAGACCCCGUGAACCUUUACUAUAGCUUGACACUGAACAUUGAGCCUUGAUGUGUAGGAUAGGUGGGAGGCUUUGAAGUGUGGACGCCAGUCUGCAUGGAGCCGACCUUGAAAUACCACCCUUUAAUGUUUGAUGUUCUAACGUGGACCCGUAAUCCGGGUUGCGGACAGUGUCUGGUGGGUAGUUUGACUGGGGCGGUCUCCUCCUAAAGAGUAACGGAGGAGCACGAAGGUUGGCUAAUCCUGGUCGGACAUCAGGAGGUUAGUGCAAUGGCAUAAGCCAGCUUGACUGCGAGCGUGACGGCGCGAGCAGGUGCGAAAGCAGGUCAUAGUGAUCCGGUGGUUCUGAAUGGAAGGGCCAUCGCUCAACGGAUAAAAGGUACUCCGGGGAUAACAGGCUGAUACCGCCCAAGAGUUCAUAUCGACGGCGGUGUUUGGCACCUCGAUGUCGGCUCAUCACAUCCUGGGGCUGAAGUAGGUCCCAAGGGUAUGGCUGUUCGCCAUUUAAAGUGGUACGCGAGCUGGGUUUAGAACGUCGUGAGACAGUUCGGUCCCUAUCUGCCGUGGGCGCUGGAGAACUGAGGGGGGCUGCUCCUAGUACGAGAGGACCGGAGUGGACGCAUCACUGGUGUUCGGGUUGUCAUGCCAAUGGCACUGCCCGGUAGCUAAAUGCGGAAGAGAUAAGUGCUGAAAGCAUCUAAGCACGAAACUUGCCCCGA